AUGCCUACUGCAACGGUUUCCUUCUGGAUUCCCAGGCUGUCACACUGGGUUCACAGAUGCUGUCCUGCGUGGGCAUGGCUCAUCCAGUGUCUUGCACAAGCUGGGUGUCGGCGAGCGUUGGUGAAGGGGACCGAGGCACCCUUUAUUUGUCUUUAUUUGUGCAAGCACGGAACGGGACCGGAAGGCAUCCAACUCAGCACCCCUACUCCUCGUCCAGGAUUUGAGCCUGGAGAGUCUGGGCCACGACCCUCAUCAGGGUGGGCUUGACUGCUUACCCGUUACUAACAAACAAACAAAAACUAGAAGUAGCUGAGAGCCAGACUUAAAUUCCUACAGGAACAGCCUCUCCGGCUGAGAGCUGCGCAUCCAUAGGGGAGUUCCAGACAGCUUGGAGUGGUGUUUGCAGAGGUUUGAUGAAAAUGCUUUGUGCUCCCGGCAGCACCCAUGACCUCUGUGUUUUCUCCCCUCGUGGGAACGUACCACCCCUGGGAAAGGCUGUGCACUCACUCGCAGUGGUUGAUGCUCAAGCUUGCAAAAAUCCACCAUGGCCUCUGACAGACGCUCAGCCUGAACACCGAGACUUUUCGAACCUGACGUCUCUUGGCUACAAGCUGAGUUCGAGCAUUCCUCACUGAUGUGGUGACUUCUGUCUGCCAGGAGCGUCGCCACAAAGUCUCCUCACAUUGGAAACUCGGGGCCCGGAUUCUGCCUGGUGAAGCUUCCAGUUUUCUAGGGCAUUCGUGGGCUCUCCUCUCGACUUAGCAGGAGACCCGACGUGAAAUCAACCAGAUGAGGCCUAAGAAUGAGUGCUUCUCGCUUCCUCUUGCUAUUUUCUCAUUUUUGGACCAAAUGAGAGGAGUCUCCUCUUCUUCAAAAGGCUUUUUUUCUUCACUGAAGGGAUCCAAAGCUGUUGCUAGAAUCAGACCCAGGUUGCAAUGACCGCUGUUAACACGGCCUUAAAUGGAUGUCUAGAUACCGUUUGAGGAAAAAUGGCUUUGGAGUCAGAAAUGGAGCCAACUUGGCUUUCUCAUCAGAGCCAUUUUUUUUUUUUUAAUCAGUUAUCUAAGCCCUGUGUUUUGCUUUCCUUUCUUCCACACCUCCUUCUAGAAGUUGAAUACGUGGCUCUGGAGCCAGAUGGACAUGGCAUUGGAUCCUGACGUGGUCCUCGUUUGGUUUGGGAUCACUUAAUUAACCUGUGCAAACCUCAGCUUCCUCGUGAGUCACCCGGGGGCAAUACCAAUCCCCCCAGCCUCCCACCAUGAUGUAGUUCCAAGGGCUAAGAUAAUUUUUGCAUAUGUUUUUGGCACAGUCCAGGCAUGCAGCAGGCAUUCAAUAAAUGCUGACUCUAGGCUAUUUUGGGGGAAUGG
rnacentral:lncRNA from 1 species